UACGGAGGGGGCUAGCGUUGUCCGAAGUUACUGGGCGUAAAGCGCGCGUAGGCGGGUUGGUAAGUCCGCUGUGAAAGCCCGGAGCUCAACUCCGGAGGGUCGGUGGAUACUGCCAGUCUUGAAGGUGCUAGGGGGGAGAUGGAAUUACCGGUGUAGCGGUGAAAUGCGUAGAUAUCGGUAGGAACACCAGUGGCGAAGGCGGUCUCCUGGGGCAUUCUUGACGCUGAGGCGCGAAAGCUGGGGGAGCGAACGGG
rnacentral:rRNA from 1 species